ensembl:lncRNA
AAAAAAAAAAAAAAAGGGAAGAGGAAAGAACGUACAAAUGCAGUGCUGAUAUCUUUUGAUUGGAUCAUUGUGAAGAUGAGCACGCUGGAGUGCCUUGCUCAUGGUCACACAGAAGAGGCUUGUACUUGCCCCAACAUGGACAAGAAGCCAGUGCCAGCGGUGGGACCAGAAGCUGCCAUGCCCCAGCACAGGAGGAAGAAGCUCACUGCAUCCAGGCACAUCUGCAUCAAAAUCUGUGCUGAAGAGCCCACAUGGGGGUGGAGUCUCUAUGGCAAAAAAGCCCUUCCUGCAUUUUGGCAGUUACACAGGCUUUCUGAGAAGAUGGGGUAUUUUUCACUAGACUAUGAUCAUCAGUGGACCUCUAUCUUCUCUAUCUUGUUUUAUCUGAGAUUAUUCUGAGUUUCUGAUAAAAGUUAUGGGCCCUGUUUCUGAAAACAUACACACAAGAAACAAUACUCUGCUUAUACGUUUGGAAAGUGGGGGAGGUCACAGACCCCAGAAGCCCAUUCUUCAGUUGAGAAUCCCUGACCUAAAGAAGGAUCUUAUCUUUUGAUAAGACCUUCUUCCUUGGGCAGCCUGGGUGGCUCAGCGGUUUAGCAUCUGCCUUUGGCCCAGGGUGUGAUCCUGGAGACCUGGGAUCAAGUCUCCCUGCAUAGAGCCUGUUUCUCCCUCUGUCUGUGUCUCUGCCUCUCUCCCUCUCUCUCUGAAUAAAUAAAAAAUAAUAAUCUUAAAAAAAAGACCU